rnacentral:rRNA from 1 species
CCUACGGGUGGCAGCAGUGGGGAAUAUUGGGCAAUGGAGGCAACUCUGACCCAGCAACGCCGCGUGAAUGAUGAAGGUCUUCGGAUUGUAAAGUUCUUUUCUAAGGGAAGAAGAAAGUGACGGUACCUUAGGAAUAAGUCUCGGCUAACUACGUGCCAGCAGCCGCGGUAAUACGUAGGAGGCAAGCGUUAUCCGGAAUGACUGGGCGAAAGGGGCGCGUAGGCGGUCCGUUAAGUCAGCGGUAACAUUGCGGGGCUAAACCCCGUCGAGCCGUUGAAACUGGCGGACUUGAGUUGGCGAGAGGUACGCGGAAUGCGCGGUGUAGCGGUGAAAUGCAUAGAUAUCGCGAAGAACUCCGAUUGCGAAGGCAGCGUACCGGCGCCAGACUGACGCUGAGGCACGAAAGCGUGGGGAUCGAACAGGAUUAGAUACCCCUGUAGUC